UGUACACACCGCCCGUCGCUCCUACCGAUUGGGUGUGCUGGUGAAGUGUUUGGAUUGGUAUCAUUGGGGGGCAACCUCCGUUGGUACUGAGAAGAACAUU
rnacentral:rRNA from 1 species